GAUGCGAUUUCAUCAUGGCAUAAUAGUUUGACUUUUCCAUAGCCGAACAAUUUCCGCAUGAAUCGCAGAUUAAUUAAGGGUUAAUGCGCGUGUCUACUGAAAUUCCGAUUAUGAAUGACAGUGUUUCGUGCAAUUUCCGUACAAUUA
ensembl:snoRNA snoRNA:CG31191-a